rfam:Glycine max cultivar Williams 82 chromosome 4, whole genome shotgun sequence.
AGUGGUGGAGCAUGCAUGAAGUUUAAUUUGAUGAAAAGCGAAGAAUUUUAUCAGGACUUGACGUGUUUCGAAUCCUCUUGAAAUAAAGGGAUGCCUUUGGGCAUGCAGACGCACGUGGUGGUGCAUUUUUGUUAAUAUUGAAUGUGGAACUUUGAGUAGAUUGCCUGUGAUAAGUCGAAGGAAGGUGUCAAGUCAUUACGGUCCUCAUGCCUUGGAUGGCACGUGCUAUAUGGACACGACAAAGGAUUGCGAUCUUGCAAGGAUGAGUUAUUUCUAUAAACCAAUCCUUAGUUCGGUUUGUAGAUUGCAACUCAUGCACAUGAAGUCCAAAUCAAUGGUUAUUAUCGUUUAGCCAUACAACAUUAAAUUU